rnacentral:RNase_P_RNA from 1 species
UCUAUCAGCCGGGUUAUCGAUCCGAUCUUAUCGGAUAGGAAAGUCCGGACAGCACAGAGCAACACACUGGUUAACAGCCGGCUUCCCGGUUAGCCGGGAAAGAGAAAGGGCCACAGAAAAUUACCGUCCCGCCUUAGGCGGGAUAAGGGUGAAAACGUGAGGUAAGAGCUCACGGGUUUUUGCAGUAAUGCAUUAAUUGGGUAAACCUUGUGUGCUGUAAUGCCACGUAAACCGGCGUUUGAGGGCGGCUCGUCCGAUGCCGAAGGGUAGGCAGCAAGACUGUAACAGUAAUGUUGCAGCCAGAUAAAUGAUAGCCAGGUGUUUGGCCUUUGCUUGGUUACACAAACAUCUUACAGAAUCCGGCUUACAGGCUGAUAGAUUUU